GAUUAUAUGUUGGAAGCUUUUCAAGUGCAAACCAUUGAAGAUCAUCUUCUUCUUCUUCUCUUCUUGAGAAAGAAGGAUUUGUGGAGCAAGAAGAUCUCAUCUCACCCAAUUUAUUCAUAUUUGUUAUUUUGGUUAUGGAGAAUGGAUCAUCAGGCCCUCUGAAGAUAUUAUGAUUUUGUCUGAUAAGGCUCUCUGUUUCUUAAUUCAUCCAUUCGUACCUGCUUUCUUUUUUUGUUAACAUAAUCCUUACAUAAUUAUGGAUUAUAGCUUUUCUUUUUCUGGCCAAGAUUAUAUUUUUUAUAGCUAAAAAAUUUCAAAAAAAGUUCACAAUAAAACUCCCUUAAAUUCUACCUUUUCUGCAUUUGAUUUUGAUUUUAUUUUUUCUUGAUAAGAUCAUGCAUUAAAAGUUUUCACAUAGAAAAUAUGAAUUUAUAUUUGUCCUAUUUUUAUUACAAUAUGACACUUUACUUUGUUACAAUUGAAACAAACAGUUGGAAGUAUCAUAUUACAAAUUCUUACUUACCAAAGAGAUAAUAAUAAAUUACAUGUUACAGCUUUGCUAUUGCACAAAAAAAAAAUAGUAAUAUUAAUAAAAUAUACUGUUAAAAAAAAAAAAAAA